GCUCUCUCACCCCAAGGGACUUGAGGUCUUUAUCUAUUUCCAUCACUUAACCAUGAGCUCUUUGGGAACCAGAACCCAGUCAGAACCAUUGGGGUAUCUGAAUCUGGACCCAAGCAUGUAGUGGGGCUCAGUCUACCUGUCACCUCAUUCAGGAUUCUUUCAGUUGUCUUUGUGAGGAAGACAUGGGACAUGUGGACGAUAUCCUCACAAUAUUUCUGCAAUAAUGAAACAACAUGAUUCUGGGACUUGCUUCAAAUAUUCAGCGUGGGGGAGUGGGUAGGAGUAUAGCGAAAACCAGAUGGGCCAUGAGUUGAUAAUUGUUGGACUGGGUGAUGGAGACUGCUUUGUUAUAUGUUUCCCUUUACUGUGGUGUACAUUUAACAUUUUUCCAUAAUAAAAAAAGAAUUUAAACCCAGCAAUAAAUCCUUUCCAACAAUUGCUUUUUAAAAUGCUCCUUUUAAUAAACUUGCUUUUAAGUUCAAUUGACAGGUGGUUUUUAUCAUAACUCCUCCCUCAUAUUUUUGGCCUUUGUAUCUACUGUCCUUAUUUAUUAACUUAUUUUUAACAGUUUUAUUGAG
rnacentral:lncRNA from 1 species